AUGCCAAGCCAUGACACCCCGAUGCCUCAGUACUCAACCAUUCGCAGCAUAAUGGAUGCUGGAGCGGCCGGUGUGGUACUGUUCAAUGAUGAAGCCGAUGGCUACUCCAUUCUUCUUCAGGAUUACUACUCGAGAGUGGUGCAGGUGGCCGCAGCUGACGGCAUUGCUAUCACAGGUUAUGCGAAGUCGGCAGCGAGCAAAGCCGUGGCCACUUUCACAUACAACAACACAGUGCUUGGUGUUCGUCCAAACCCGACCGUGGCGUCGUUCUCUUCACGGGGUCCAAGCCCUAUCUCCCUGGGCGUGCUCAAGCCAGACAUUCUGUCUCCCGGGCUCAACAUCCUCGCCGCAUGGCUGCAAGAAACAAAAUCUGCAUCGAGGCCUUUCAACAUCAUAUCAGGUACAUCCAUGGCAACACCACAUGUCAGCGGUGUUGCGGCGCUCAUCAAAAGCUUGCAUCCCGACUGGUCACCGGCUGCCAUCAAGUCGGCCAUCCUGACAACGUCGGACACCUUCAACAACAUCGGUGGCCCGAUAUUGAAUGAGAGGCAUGGUAAAGCCAGUGCGUACGAUAGAGGCGCCGGCCAUGUGAACCCGGCGAGAGCUGCCGAUCCUGGUCUGGUGUAUGAUCUCGGCGUAACUGAUUACAUGGUCUACAUCUGCUGGCUCCUUGGCAACAAAGGCUUGGUGACGAUCGUGCACAACCCGAGCUUGACCUGCGAGAAGCUGCCCAAGGUCAAGGACGUCCAGCUCAACUAUCCAAGUAUAACUGUGCCAUUCACAUCAACGCCAUUCAUCGUGAACCGAACAGUGACGAACGUUGGGCCAGCAACAUCGAUAUACAGGGCGAAGGUGGACGCACCCAAGUCAAUGACGGUGCGUGUUUCUCCGGAUACACUGGUGUUCUCCAAGGCCCGGGAGAAGAAGACAUUUAGCGUGUCGGUGAGCAGCCACCACGUGGAUGAACAAGAAUCCAUGGAGGGAAGCCUGAGCUGGGUGUCCGAGAAACACGUGGUGAGGAGCCCGAUCGUCGUCUCCCUUCGAGUCGGUGGUCCUACUCCCCUGCGAUCACCAUGA
rnacentral:rRNA from 1 species